ACCAUUGCCAAAAGUGUGGAGAAUUUUUGGUGCAUCAUUGGCAAAGACUAACCUGGCAUCAUGUUGCAAAUUCACAAUUCCACAUCUGAAGUCUGAGAAGUUGAAGAGGUUGGGGUGCUUGGUGUCCUUCGUGAACGGAUGAAAUCUCAGGUUUGUAAAUAGUAAUGACAUGAAGUGUGACCAGUUGGAAUAACCAGACCAAGUGCUAGAAGGUUGGAAUAUUGGAAAGUCACUAUGUCAGAUGAACUCUCUCCACCCAACACAUUGACUGAAAGCCAAUUAUCCUCACAAGGGUCAUGGGAAAGCUGGAGCCUAUCCUAGGUAGCCUCAGUCGAAACGCAGACUACCAUGACCGGCCGUCACAGGUUUGACAUCAACACCAUCACUGAGCGGGAAUCGAUCCCACGAGACC